AAAAAAAAAAAAANAACACAAGUUACACAACCUCUUCUUACAUAACAUUAGUCUUAGUUUACCAAAAGAAACAAAAAGAAAAAAAUGAAUCGUCAGGUUUUAUCCUUAAUCACUUUGAUUAUUCUCUUACUCUCUGCGUACAACACAACUAUGGGCCGAACCUUGCCAAGGUGAAGGAAAUGGAGCAUUACAAUUUGGAAAUAUAAAAGCUGGUGUUACGCGAAGUACAUCGCCACGUGGGAAAGGGGCUGGACGUGGGAAAGGGGCUGGACGUGGGAAAGGGGCUGGUUCAUGAAACAAAUAUUGAUAAUAUUUAUGAUUUGUAUCACAAUUCAUCAUUACAGUGCAGCGAUUCAUGAAACAACCUUUUAUUGUUUUAUUCAAGGAAUUUAUACAUUUAUGGUCUAGGCAGGUCAUUUGCCCAGACCGAGUCGUUAAAUAUGCCUUCUUCAAGGGAAAAAAACAUAUGUUGUCUUUUUCUUAACUUUACUUAAAGAAAUGCGUUUUCCUUGCUUAA